rnacentral:lncRNA from 1 species
UCUGUGUGUUUUUCUAGUCCUUGGGUGUUCAGAGAAGUUCUAGAUCAGUGGUAUAUGCAUAUUAUGUGGAGCUGGGUUAGAAGUAAAAAAUCUCAGUCCCACCUAGACCUCCUGAAUUAGAACCUGCAUUUUAACAAGGCCUCUCAGAAAGUUCCUUUGUACAGUAAGCAUAAAAAUACUGUCCAGUCUAGCGUAGUCUGUGCAUGGGGUUGUGCUCCAUUAAUGUAGUUUUCUUCCUUUCAAAUUAAAUGAGUUUUACACAUGAACUUGCCUCUCCUCCUACAUUGAACAAGAACAACAACAACUAUAAUCACAAAAGAUGAGAUUGGUCUGUUUUCUAAUUUGACCUUAUUUUUGGUAAUCCUUUCAAACUGAAUGUAUGUAAUUCCCUUCUCUUUUUCAUGAUUUGUGGUUGCUUCUUGAAUCAGGAUGCUAAAAUUGAGUUUUGAAGAUGACACCAAGACAAAAUGAAUGUGAACCAUACAAGAUCAUAAAUGCAGAACUGACCACUUCCACAACUCCUGGGCCCACUUCCAGUUGGAGGACAAAAACCUGAGUGUCGUUUAGAAAAGUGUGAUUUUAGGGUGGAGAAAGCUGUGUUGUGAACCAUACCCCCCUUACAGGUAGAGUGCCUGCUCCUUCAACAAACCUGGUGGUGAGGAGACUUCCAAGAGUACCGACGAAACUUGGUCCUGGUGGUGUGAAGCCUGAUAACAACAAGAAGGUCCAAUAUUAUCUUACCUGUUCUCUUUCCUUGCCACCAACCACUGGAAGAAGCAAAAACAGGCGAGUGAAGGAGGUGGGGGGAAGCAGGCCCACACUGGAGAAGGAAGAGUUGU